GACGUAGGGCGCGAGCGUUGUCCGGAUUCAUUGGGCGUAAAGAGCGUGUAGGCGGCCAGGUAGGUCGGUUGUGAAAACUGGAGGCUCAACCUUCAGAGGUCGACCGAAACCAUCUGGCUAGAGUCCGGGAGAGGAGAGUGGAAUUCCUGGUGUAGCGGUGAAAUGCGCAGAUAUCAGGAGGAACACCCGUGGCGAAAGCGGCUCUCUGGAACGGUACUGACGCUGAGACGCGAAAGCGUGGGGAGCGAACAGG
rnacentral:rRNA from 1 species